rnacentral:lncRNA from 1 species
AGCCGCAUCUCUCUUUCUCCCUCUUCCUCUCUUUCUUUCUCUGUCAAAUAGCAAAAGUUGCUGCCCGUCACCGUAUUUAGUGAGACGCCGGAGCAGUCGCGUCCCUUCGCCGGCCUCCUAUCUCCGCUCUCGCGUCUCCAGCGGUGGCAAUACCCAUCAGCCACUGCUCCAGCGUCGACUCCAUCUCUGUCGCUCAACCGGCGAAAUCAACAGCCAACUCCACCGUUGGCCACCAAAUCCGAACCAGCCGCCACAACAGCCAAAUUCGGCCGCCGUACCAUCAUUUUGGCCAGCGAAAUCAGUCUUACCGGUGGAAGCCAACCAUGGACGAUGAAUCUCCAACCAACACCGCCAUUGCUCCACCCAUUUCCAAUUAAAAAAUCAGUCCAUUACCAUCGUCACUCCGUUAAAUGUCAACGGAAGAAUCUUAAGUACAUGACGAAUUCACAUGUGAAUUCGUUUUAGGUUUGAUUUCUUUUUUCAAGUUUCGCCAAAAACCCUUUAUGUUGAUUAUUUUUGUUUUGAUUAUUUUUGUUUUACUGAUUCUGUGAUUUGAAAUUAGUGAAAUUUGAUUUUUUUAAUUUUGAUUUGACUCUUUGAUUUCCUGCUUAUUUUUAGUCUUUAAUUGACAUAUGCUAAGUCCAUUAUCGUUUGUUUGGCAAUACUAUUGUUGAAUCAUGAUCUUAGUAAUAUAAUAGUUUAAGUGUAGGUACUUGAAAACUAAAAUUUAGGAAGAGUUUGCCUGAUGAAUGUGAAUCUAGCUACAUUUUUUCGCAUUUAAACUAUCAUCUCUACCAUUUUAGGGACCUAGCUGUUAGUAUAGCUACCAGUCAUCUUCAAUAAUUUCCUUACAUCUAACUAAACUGCUGCAUUGCCUUCGACAACUCAUAGUUAAGAGUUAUUGAUGAAAAGGUGAAUACGAGAUUUUAAUCACGUACUGGCCGAUUAGUGCUGUAUCCAUUAAUUAAUCUUUUACACAGUUGAAUUUUGCUUAGCAAUUAUUUUAAAGCUGUUUGAAUCUAAAGAGUGUUGUCGGGUGUAUGAGCUAGGCUGUUCUGUUCUGAUUGUUCUAGGAGACAUCCUUAUCACAUGAAAAGCUAUGAAAUGUGAGUCAUUAGUCCUGUAUCUUCUUUUUACAUGUUAAUAUUCCUUUAACUGGAACUUGGAAGGAUAGUACUCUCCUUCUAGCAUGAUAUUGCAUAAACAAUAUCUUGAUUUGGUCAGUUCUAUACUUCUAUUAGUUGACAACAUAGGAUUUUCCAAUUUUGCUUAAGAGUGCCCUUUCCUUUGAAAUGUGGACUUGUGUUUUGAAUUUAGUUAAGUGUGGUCACUUGAGAAGUGAAUAAGUACUUGAAAUGUUUAACCGUAGUUACUUGAAAUGUGGACUUGUGUUUUGAAUUUAGUUAAGUGUGGUCACUUGAGAAGUGAAUAAGUACUUGAAAUGUUUAACCGUAGUUACUUGAAAUGUGGACUUGUGUUUUGAAUUUAGUUAAGUGUGGUCACUUGAGAAGUGAAUAAGUACUUGAAAAUGUUUAAGUGUAGGUACUUGAAAUGUGGAGUUGUGUUUUAAUUUUAGUAAAGUGUGGUCACUUGAGAAGUGAGUUAAUGACUUGAAAAUGUUCAAGUGUAGGUACUUGAAAUGUGGACUUGUGUUUUGAAUUUAGUUAAGUGUGGUCACUUGAGAAGUGAAUAAGUACUUGAAAAUGUUUAAGUAUAGUUACUUGAAAUGUGGACUUGUGUUUUGAAUUUAGUAAAGUGUAGUCACUGGAGAAGUGAAUUAGUGACUUGAAAAUGUUUAAGUGUAGGUACUUGAAAUGUGAACUUUUAUUUUGAAUUAAGUUUAGUUUGAUAACUUGUGAAGUGAAUUAGUGACUUGAAAAUGUUUUGGUGUAGGUACUUGAAUUGUGAACUCUUUAUUUUGAAUUUAGUUUAGUUAGGUAACUUGUGAAGUGAAUUGAUGUCUUGAAAUGUUUAAGUGUAGUUACUUGAAUUAUGAAUUAGUGACUUUUGUUUUAAAUUUAGGCACUUGAAAUGUGAACUUGCGUUUUGAUUUUAGUAAAGUGUGGUCACUUGAGAAAUGAAUUAGUGACUUCAAAAUGUUUAACUGUAGAUAUUUGAAACGUGAACUUUUCAUUUUGAAUUAAGUUUAGUUUGGUAACUUCUGAAGUGAAUUAGUGACUUGAAAAUGUUUAGGUGUAGGUAUUUGAAAUGUGAACUUUUGUGACUUGAACUAAUUACUUGAAUGUGAUUGAUUGUGUAGAUGAAACCUGAUUAUAGUUGGAUGUAUCAACGAAAUAUUAAUAAUAAAAUGGGUGAGGCUGAGAAUGAAGAUGCGGAUGAUGAGUUGUAUUUUUUAGUCUUUUGUAUGUUUUAUAGUUUGGAUUUGGAAUCUCGAUAAAUUUUGUAAAUAAUUUGAUUUUUAAUGUUUGUAUUCUUAUGGUGGUUGGUUGAUUGUAUAUUAAAUGUUUGGCGGACUGUAUUGUAAAUAAUUUGAUUUUUAAUGUUUUUAAAUGAUUGGUGGGCUGUAUUGUAAAUAAUUUAAUUUUUAAUUUUGUAAAUAAUUUGAUUUUUAAUGUUUGUAUUUUGGAAAUUUUUAAUAUGUGGUCGAUUUUUAAAAAUAUUUUUUGAAAACGGACCACAAGUGGUCGAUUUUUUAUUUAAAUUAAAUAAUUAAUUUAUAAAAGAAUCGACCACAUGUGGUCGGUUUAAUUUAAAUUAAUUAUUUAAUUUAAAUGCACAACCAACCACAUGUUGUCGGGUUUUUUAUAAAUUAAUUCAAAUAAAAAACUGACCACAUGCGAUUGAUUUUUUUUAUAAAUUAAUUAAUUAAUUUUAUUAAAAAUGACACGAGUGGUCGUUUUUAUUUAAAUUAAUUAAUUAAUUUAAAUAAAAAAUCGACCACUCGUGGUUGGUUUUAUUAAUAUUAAUUAGUUAAUUUAAAAUAAAACCGACCACGAGUGGUCGGUUUAUUUUGAAUUUUUUAAUUUUUAAACUUAUUUUUUUCUAUUUUAAUAAAAUAAUAAUGAAUUUUAAAAAUAUAUAUAUAUUUUUAAAAAAACUAAUCACACGUGGUCGAUUUUUAAAAAGCUACCACUAUUUUAUCAACCACAAGUAGUUGGUUUUCCUUUUUUUUUUUUUAAUAGUGAAUCUUAUCAAAGUCUUCCCUUUUUCACCUUUUCCCCAAUUUUGUAAGUAAUUUUGUAAAAAGUUAAUUCCUAUUAUGUAUAGUUUGAUUUCGAGACGGUGGGUGUACAUAUAACCAUUAUUUACUCGAUCGGCCUUUUUUGGGUUAGCAUGCAACCCGGUGGGGGAUAUUAUAGCGCAUCCUGAACUAAAUUUGUGAUGUUCCAGAAUUAUAGUAGUUUCUAAGCAUAUUUUGCCGAAUUUGUGCCAAAAGCAUAUCAAAAUACUUUGCCCUGUUUACCGAAAAAAAAAAAAAUACUUUGCCCUGGAUUAAGAAAGAUACAUAUAUGUAUGUUUACAGUUGAUAGGAGAGACUAACAAACUUGAAUAUUUAUGUAAUUAUAAAUUAUUUCAUUUAGAAUAAAACAAGAAAAAAGUUGAGCUAUUUUUAUUUAUGAAAAUAGGACGUUUUUUAUGGAAACAUUAUAAAAAAAGAGAGAGGUUGUAGCAUGAAGUGAAACAUAGAGAGAAUAUACAUUCUUUAUGGUAACAGACUAAAAAGAGAAAAGUUGCCACAUCAAGUGAAACAUGGAUAAAAUAGUAUAUGACAGUAGUGAGUAGUGACCAAGAGGUUAGUGAAAUUCGAAUGUGGUAUUUCGUUUGGAAUUAGUUGUGAUAUUUGAAGAUUACAUGUAGGUGGAACCAAGAUCGAUAUAUUCAUAGGUACUCAAUUUGGUAAAUUGCAAUAGAUGGUUUUUCUUUGGGGGUGUGUGUGUGGGGGGCGGGGGUGGUGGUGGUGGUGGUUGUGGUGCAUGCAUGUUGCCCUUAUUUAUAGUGGUACUUCACUUUUUAUUCCUUCUUUCAAAAAUAUUCCUUCUUUCAAAAAAUGGGUGUGUGGACCACUAUCUAAUUAAUCAUGUUCAUGAUUAGUGUCCAAAGCAAAUGGAAAGGGAUAUAUUAGACACCGAAGAACUCAUUAGCUCUUAUUUUUUUCAGUUACCUUUAUUUUUCUUUUGUGAAGGAUAGCUUUUUCUUUAAUGGCAAUUGGUAAAUAUAUACUAUUUCUCGUUUCUCAUUAAAUAUUGACAAAUAAAUUUCAUAUCCAUCCCCAUUCCAUAAGUCUACAUCUAAGGAGUCGUUUGGUGUGAGGUAUUAAAACAAAUUAUUUCGGGAUAAAAUAAUAGUUUCGAGAUAAACUUUUUAAUACAUCGUUUGGUUUGGCCAUACUCGGAAUAACUUAUCCCAGGACUAAUAAUAGUCCCGGGAUAAGUUUUACCAUAUAUUUGGUGGUAUAAGUUAUCCCACCUUAAUUUAUCCUUGGAUAAAAUUAUAAAAUGACAAAUAACCUCCAAAUCCAUUACAAACACAUUGCUUCAAUCUUUUUCAUCUCCUCUUAGUUCUUCAAUCUCUAAAUAUUGCUUUUGAAAUUGAAAAAAGAUUAUUGAUAUCUACUUUAUUAUCUAAAAUGCGUUAUGUAUGAAAAAUUAAAAAGACUAAAAUAUCUUAUUUUGAAACGACGAAAAUAUAUGACUAAGAAGAAUUAACCUCUUAUUGAUUGAAUUUUGCAUUUUUUUCAUCCCAUUGCUUGUAAAUUUUAUAAAUUUAUACGCUAUUUUCUUAUAUAAAGGAUCAAAAUGCAAAAUUAACAAAUUAAAAAUUAAAAUAUAUUAGAUUCAUACAUAAUAAGGAUCAAAACUAGGUACUAUAAUUUUUUAUAUAUCCAACAAAAUAUAGGUACUAUAAUUUUUUAAGCAUAGAAAAACGAAAUUCAACAUCAACUUUUUCCUUCCAAGUGUUAUUUUUGUGAAUUGAUAACACAAAAAGUUCUUAUUACACAAUGAAAAGAUUAAUUAAAGUAAGUAGAUUUUAUAAUAAUAAUUAUCAUUCACCGGUAAUCUGUAAAAUAUUUUAGCAACUACAAAUGCAUUGCCUAGCUUUAAUACACAUUAUCGUUUUACAAUCGACUCUAUUGUUCAAUUACAUAUUUUAAAUUAAAUAGUUUUUUAAUCACUUGAAAAUUGAUAUUGUAUAUAUCAUUUAAAGUAAAUUUUAAUAUUCUAUGAUAUGAGUAAUAUGUGUUUAAAUGAAAUGACAUAGAUGGCGAAUCUUCUUUUACUUUAACAAACUUAAGUUGUAAGUUUUUAUUUCAAACUAAAUAAGAUGUAGUAAGAUUUUUUUUUUCAAACACACACGGCAUAAUCAUGGGAAGACACAUAAAAAAAAUUAAAGUUAAUAAGAUGAAAGUUUUAUUUUUAAAAUACACACGAUAUAAUCAUGAAAAUGCACAUAAAAAAAAAUUAAAGUUAAUAAGAUGAAAGUUUUAUUUUUAAAAUACACACGAUAUAAUCAUGAAAAUGCACACACAAAAAAAUUAAGCUAAAUAAGAUGAACGUUUUAUUUUUAAAAAUAAAUAUUUGAAACUUGAAAAGAAAUAUAUAUAAAUUAAAAAGAAGUAAAAUAAGAUGGGGAUAUUUUGGUAAUCAAUUAAUUUAUUCUUAGAAAUUAUACUAUGCAUAUUACUUUGAAAACAACAAACCAAACACUCAAUAAAAAUAAUCCCAACAUAACUAAUCCCAGUAUAACUUAUCCCAUCAUAACUUAUCCUAACAUAACAAAUCCUAAUAUAACUACAUUCUCAACCAAACGAUCCUAAAUGUUGAACUAGAUUCCCACGUAGAUUUUCAUAUGGACGUUUUACUGCCGACUUGUAUUUACUUACCUUUAAAAAAUAAAGAGGAGCCAAUAUAAAUAAAAGAAAAUCUUGGACAAAGGUAUUGGUAGAGAUAAUAGCACGUGAAGGUUAUCCAUAGCUUGAUGAAAUUUAGUUUGUCUAGAACUAGAACUCUUAUGUAUUGGAUAGCUAAUUGUAAUCAAUUAGAUUAAAAUCAAAUGUUUUCCCUCUAGUAGUACUCUAUCUAUGUAUGGACGUUUAUCUUUGUCUAUGAAUGGAGCUUGCCUACUCAUGAAAUACCAGAUGCAAAUCAUGCACUUGGCUUAUUGUUUCAGAAUUGACAUUCUAUCAUCUAUAAAAUAUAAUUCACGUGUGAGUGUUAAAUGCUCAGACGAACCUGACAAAUCUACUAGCUAGUAUCCACAUUCAAGUAACAAGUAUAGUAGAAAUUAGUACCAUUUAUGAAUAUCCAUCUAUAUUUUACAUAUUUGAUUCUUUUGGGUAGAAAAUUCAAAUUGCCAAACUAAAUAUCACUCAAAUUCCAACGUGAUAAAAUAAGAGGAAGAGCAAAGCAAUGAAAUAUACAUCAGCGGUCGAUUCUAGCGCAGUCAGAUAAACACUGAAUUGACUAAAGAAUGUUGAAUGAAGCAAAGCCAAAUAUUAACUAGUCUUCCUUUUGAGUAGAAAGCAAAAGCUUUCUUCACCUUUUACUUUUCCACUACUCACAAGCUUACCAUCACUUACAAAAUUAAGAUGAAAAAGAAGAAAGUAGGGCCGGCCUCAUUUAAUAUGAUACAAUUACUAGCUACUAAAAGAAUCAAAUAAUAUUUUUACUACCUUUUCUUUAGAAAGUGUUAUUAUCGAACUUAUGAGCAUAAUUUUAAGUACUUUGAAACUCUCGUUGCACACUUCCAAUCCUAUCUUCGUUUUAUUAUAGAUCUCAUGUUUGUUUUUAAUACAGAGGAAGUAAAAAAAGUUCAGCAAAUAAAACGUAUGGUGGCAGUGGGAAGCAAAGGAGCAGAGGGUAUCAGAUGACACAGGCACCGACGAAAGAGGGUUUGAGAAAUUUAGUACUUCUGUUUGGAAUCAUUUGGAGCUGGAACUUGUUGCCAGUUAAGACUCCUCUUGCUUUGCCAUUUUGGUCCGCACAGCUCUCCCCUCGGAAAGGGACACUCUGGCCCAUCUUUGUCUUUUUGCGACUAAUACUCAUACACUCAUUAUAAACAAAACAAAAAAAAAAGCUUUCAUAAAUAGCUAUAAUUUGAAGCAUAAUUAUCAUUAGUAGCUAUAAUUUGGAAUGUAAUUAUCAUUAAUAGCCAUAGUUUGCGAAUUUACCAUUCGUAGCUAUUCUUUUGGUUUAGUUGUUGUAUCAUUUCGCAAAUAGGUUGUAUCAGUUCGUAAAUACGAUGUAUCAGUUCGAUAAUUGCUUGUAUAUGUUCACUAUGUAUUAGUGAUGCAACUUUCUAAAACAAUUCACUUUUAUCAAUUGUUGUCGGAUUGUAUCACUUGUAUUUAUUUGCUCUAGUUUUAUUUGUAUUCACACAUAUACAAUCUAAUUACUACAUCGACAAUCACUUUUAUCAAUUUUACCAGCUUUCAUCACUUGUAUUCAUCUACUAUAUCAAUCAUUACUAGUUUAUAGCACUUGCAGGCAUUCACAUUAUUGGGUGUAUCAACAUGGUCACUACUAUCAAUUGUUACCAGUUUGUAUCAUCGCCCAUAAUUAGUUGUAUCAAUGUUACCACCGUGUAUAGCUUAUAUUCAUUCACUCUAAUUUUACUUGUAUUCAUUUCCUCUAAUUUUACUUAUAUUCAUUUGUAUUCAUUUCCUCUAAUUUUACUUAUAUUCAUUUGCUCUACUGCAUCAAUUGUUAAUUCUCAUUGUGUAUCACUUGUAUUCAUUCCUUUAAUGGUUAUAUCAAUGCACAUAAUAUUGAUUGAUAUAGUAUGGAUAUGUUGUUUGUGUUUAGUUAAUUUUUUUUGGUAUAAGUGGUGAAGAAGGAAAUUUUAAAUGAUUAAAAGCAGAGGUGGUGUUUCUAAUUAUGGAUAGUAAGUGGAAAAGCCCGGUGCAAUAAAUUCCAAAGAAAGGAGAUAUGACAGUGGUACACCAUGAGUGAAAUGAUUUGAUCCAAACUAGAUCAAUCACAUAAUGAUGAGUGUGCGUGGAUUACACGAAAUUGAAUUAAACCUCCUGGAAAGACCAGUUUCCUUUAUCAUUCAUCGUCAAAAGCUCGAUCUGCUGGCCAGGAAGUAGUUUUAAUAUUUUCUUAAUGGAUAUUCACGGAUAAUAAAAUCAACAUUGUGCUAGAAGAUUANNNNNNNNNNNNNNNNNNNNNNNNNNNNNNNNNNNNNCAACAGUCCAACUAUUUUUCAGAGAUGUAUGAUGUCCAUCUGAGAAAGCCAAAAUAGAAAUCACUGCUAAACUCCUGCUAUCAUUUUUGAUAUUAGCGUGCGAAGCUUCUCAAAGAUAAUGAAUCCAAUGUGUAAGCUUCUUGCAAAACACGCUAAAUUUGUGUCUGAUAGAAAAUGUCUGACGGCUUUUGAAACUACUAAAGAACUUUUGACAUUUGCUCUUAUUAUUAUUACUCCAACUGAUUCGUCCAUUUGAGCUUAUGUGUAACACAAGUGAUUUUGCUAUAUGAGUUGUAGUGAGGUAGAGGAACAACAAAAUACCACAUCUAAUCUAUUAUACAAGCAAGAUGUUGAACCUUCCCGAAUAAACUAUAAUGUUGUAAAAUUUGCCUUCGAGAAAUUUAGAGCUUAUCUAUUGGGGUCCAAGGUGAUAGUUUACACUAUCAUGCAACUUUAUGAGAUAGUUGAUGACAAAAAAUGCUAAACCAAGACUAAUUAAACGGGUGCUUCUACUUUAAGAAUUCAAUUUUGAAGUAAAGAUAGAAAAAGAACUGAGAAUCAGGUAGCUAACCACUUAUCCAAAUUGAAGCAAGAAGGAAGACCUAUCAGAUAGUCAGACAUUAAUGUCAAAUAUCUGAUGAGUUCCUUCUUGUCUUGACAAGUAUAAUGGCACUCCGGUAUGCCUAUAUUACAAAUUAUUUGGCAACAGUCAUCUUUUUGUUAUAAGUAAAAUCAUACCAAAAGAAGAAAGUUUUCAAAGAUUACAGACAUUACUUUUGGAAUGAGCCCUAUCUAUUUCAAAUAUAUGCUGAUAGUAUGGUUUGGAGUUGUGUGUCUAAAGGAGAAAUGAUGUCAAUUUUGAAAGUAUGUCAUGACUCAUCCGUUGUAGGCCACCAUGGGGGUAAUAGAACAACAACAUAAAUCUUGAAAUGUGGUUACUAUUGGCCUACCUUAUAUAAUGAUAUAAUUUUUUGGUGAUUUUUGUGAAUUAUUUAUUUAUGUGUGAUUUGACCAUUUUACUCCUCUCUGUGGUUGCUUUAUGGUAUUUUUGAGGUGUGGAAAUGAUUGAUACAAUUUUCAAUGCAUUUUGGUGUGAUUUAUGAGAGUUUAUAGUUUUUGGUGGUUAAAAGGGCUUUAUAGUUUACUUCGGUCAACAUUUGUUAUUCUGUGCGUCGGAUGAAAAAAUAGACUGUGCCAAUAGAUUCAAAAUGUCAAUUUUAUAGUGGUAACAUGAUUAGUACGAUUUUAUGACUUUUGUAUCUCAUUUCGACUCUCAGUUCAACAAGUUGUAAAAUUGGAUUUCAAGGGUCAAUUUUGUAAAAACGAUAUUUUUUUGAAAAUAUGAUAUCAUCAUUGAGUCCGAGUCAUUGAAUUUGCUAGGGUAGUAUAGCUUAUUUGCAUUCUUGAGAUUUUGAAUAAAUCUCAAGGAGCCCACGGAGACUUGAAAUUCUCCAAGUCUCCAGCUGAUGCACCACUCAGCUGGUGCAUCUGCUUAAGCAUCCCGCCGAUCUCUUAAGCGACCUGACUUACACCAGCGAGUGUCGCUUAACGACCUUGGGUCCGCUUAAGCAACCCUUGGUCUGCUUAACCGAUAUAUGCAACUUUGGCGGGUGUCGCUUAAGCAAUACUUGAACGCUUAAGUGAUGGUAGCUUAAGCAGCCUAGUAUCCACUUUAGCGAUACCUAGGCAAUAUAUAUAUACCCUUUUCGCGAUUUUUCACUAUUUUUGAUACUUUGAACUUGGGUUUUUGUGUUCUUAGGUGAUUUCUUUCAUUUUCAAGCUUGGGUAAGCUCGAAAUACCCAUUUCAAUUAUUUUUCUUUAAUUCUUGUCAUUCAAUCUUGUUAAAACUCGAUUUCAAAAGUAAAAUUUGGGAAUUAUGGCCCGAAAGGUCUAAAUUAGUAAUUCUUCGAUUUAAACCCCAAUUUCAACCCAUUUUUGACUUGGGUUUUCUUCUAUGGCUUUCUUUAGUCACGAGUAAUAUAUUUUUGAACUACCAAUUUUAACCUUAUUUUUUGAAAGCUCAUUUUUGGUUUUCAUUUUGAUCCAGAUCUAAAAAUGGGCAAUAUUGAUAUCAUUGAAUUUCUUUUGACACAUAUAUUCUAUAUUUAUAUGUUUUAGUUGAAUCCGAGUCCGUUCGUGAGGGGAAGUCUCUGUGUUGAAGGCUAUUUGACUCAGUUUUCUACAUUCGAGGUAGGUUUUAGGUUAACUUUCAUUAGACUGGACUGGAUAGUUAAUAUUGGUAUAAAAUCACGUUAUGAGUGUGGGAACUAAUCAUGAAAAUUACUUUAUUAUUAGUUUAUACCCGUGUGGGGCCCUAUGUUGUUAUUAUUUGGUGGUUUUAUGACAUUAUUUGCUAUGUGUGACUGUGUGGGAUCUUAUAUGAUAUUAUUAGCCUAAUAUUUAUGCAAUUGGUUGUUUUUUUCUUAGUGGAAAAAUGUCUAAGUUAGUAUUUGUAUGGUAUCAAAUGACAUAUUAUUGUAUAUCUUACUCUAUUGGCAUAUGGAUUAUAUUGGAUCAUGGAUGGUUGACUUAUUGGGAUGAUUAUUUUGGCUCAAGUGAUUGGUAUAUUGGUUGGAUUUAAAAAUUCCAAUUCUGGUUGUUUGUGAGCAUUACAUCCUCAUAUCAUACACAUUCAUUAAACAUUGAUACCACUAUGAAACUACUGGCUUUUUCUGACAGAAAAUGUGACAUCUAUAAAAAUUCUCUGUCGAUGUAUACGUCGAAGAAGAGUUAUAGAUAUUGGAUUCAUAUUCGACAUUGAAUUGUAUAUGGGUUGUCAAACCCUCCAUAGGUCCUACCUCAGGAGCACAACUCGAUAGGUAUAUAUAGAGGUUGUGUGACAACCUCGUACAUUACAUCAUCAUCAUCAUCAUCUUCAUUUCUUUUUAUACAUUGCGUACAUUCUGUUUUGUAUUUUUGUUCUUGAUUUGAUAUCUAUCUUUUUAUGCCUCUGUUUUGUAUUUGUAUUUUGGUAUAUGUGUACAUUAUAGAACUGUUAGUGGAGACAGUAUAGUCUACCAUUUUGGACAUUUUCUGAUUGCACGUGACAUGCCCAUAGUAUGUAUUUUAUAUGCUUUAUGUUCUACUUUGCUCAGUCGGCUUAUGAUAUCUACUGACUACAAGUGGACCAUACUCACCCCUACUAUGUCCUCUCGAUAUAAAUCCAGGUAUGAGUGCACCACACAGUAGGUGAUUUAGGCGAUGAGUAGCUUUGAGGUAGCAGUCGGUCUAUGCUUCCAGAGUUAAUCUACUAUUUCUUCUUGUUUAGUUUUAUGUCUUGUUUUCAUAUUUAGAGAUAGAUUAUGUUCCUUUUGGAUUACCAGAUAUAUAUUUUUACUUUGAGAUGUAUUUAGUUGGUUUUUACAUUGUGACACCAAAUUUUAGGAAAUUUAUGGUAUCUUUGUUAUGUAUUUAUUUUUGCUAUGAUUGUACAUGUGUGGUUUGACUUUAUUUUAGAAGUUUUACCUAGGGUUUUGGUGUUGUUUUCCCUUUUCAUAUCAGUUUGGGUGAAAAACUUACUUUUCAAGGCUUGCUGCGAUUGAUACAUUCAGAUUACACCUCUCUUACGAGAGAGUAAGCGGUCGCUGUCAAAUAUAAAACCUAACUGGGUUGGGUAUCGAAUCUCACAGGGAAUACAAUGUUCACUAAGUAUUGUGAUUGUUAUUAUUAGACUGUUAAUCUAAGGUUCCGAAAUAAAGGGGCUUUGGAAAUGUUAACGGUGCUCUUUUGUAUUUGUGUUACAUAAAAUUCCAGCUACUAAGAGUAAAUACAGAUGUAAUUUUAAUGAGAAUGAAUUAACUAGAGUUAUAUUCACCAAGAUGUUCGAACACUUAGGGUUGCGAGUUUGUGUUCAAAAUCUAACUUAUGUAUCCAAUUGCAAGAAUUAUUGAAUUCUAAGGAUUACCCAUAUGUUUCUCAACCUAAUGAGUAUUUCACCAUUUACUUCUCUCAAACUUAAAGGAUUCAUGCAUUAUUCAAAAACACUCUCAUGAGGGUUGAUCCUGUUAAGGCAUCAACCCGUUAACCCAAAGGGUAAACCCAUAGAGUUCAUGUGAAUCACUUCUUUUCCCAAUAUCCACUUUUUGUCAGACAAGUGGAGUUUAUGGGCUCACUUCUCAAGUUUGCAACCAAGAUAUGCCAUCAAUAUGAAGAAAGAUUCAUGCAAUUUCAAUAGAUGUUAGAAAUCAAACCCAUUCACAACCCCAAAAUAAUUCUCUACAUUAAGGCUCCCAUAACCCUAGUUAUGGGAGUUUAGCCACUCAUCUCCAUAUAAGAAAUCAAAGUUAUAUUGAUGUUCAUAAAUAACUUCAGAAAAGUACUUACAAAUGUCACAAUAUUGUUCUUCUCGAUCUUUGAUGGAAAAUGUAGAAACUAAUAAUCAACUCUUAAUUUCUAGAUUCAAAUCCUAAUGAAAAAGUAGUACAAGGCUCUCAAUAGAGGAGAAAGUAUGAAACUGAAGAGGAAAAGAUCUCUACUAAACCCUAAUACUUGGUAUUUAUAUGUUCCCAGCUAAAAGGAUUUAAAAUUCAAAAUCAUAAAAUUUGCAUCCAAAGUGACGACCAAAUUGGUGGUCCGUCGCAAGGUUGACGGUCCACCAUUUGGCCCAUUGCUGCUGAUCUGGGAAGGUCACUUUCUGGAUAAAAUUGACGGCCAACUUGGUGGUCUGUCGUAAGACUGACGGUUCACCGCUUGGUCUGUCGCUGAGUCCUUCAGGGAGCCUGGUGCUGGAUGACACUGACUGCCAAUUUGGUAGUCCGUCGUAAGACUGACGGUCCAUCAUUUGGUCCAUCGUAACAAGACGGUCAAGUUGGUGAUCCAUCGCAUGUUGAUGGUUCACCAUUUCUACCGUCGCAGAGUCUUCUAAAAAGCUGAGUUCUGGUUAGAUCUGGCGGUUAACUUGGUGGUUCGUUGCAACACUGACAGUCCACCAUUUUGACCGUUAGAAGUGUUUUUCUGCCACUUUUUUGAGACUUUUUCUUCAGCUAGAUCCUUACCCUGAAACAUUAAAAACCUGCAUUAAAUGCAACCUUAGUUGCUUGAAAACAUACAACUUUCUCAAGAAAAAGAUGCAAAAUAUUUCGUCGAAAGCCAGAACAUCAACACCCUUAACUUAAGAUUGUUGCUUGUCCUCAAGCAACUCAGCAUCCAAUUGCAAACUUGAACCAUACCAUGACAAGCAACUAACUAAUGAAUCACUUUGACGGAACCAUUCACUCAUCAUUUUACUCAUGAGUUUCAACCAGCAGGUUCUACACCCAGCAUUGAUUAUCAUUCGGCACACAUAAACAUGAAUGUCAUAUCCCACAGAGAACAACAGAACUAAGCAAAACUCCAGUUGCCCUCACAAUAAUGAAGUCCACCACUCUUUAUACUACGUGGACACAAUCUAAACUCUUACACUCAUAAAAGAAGUUACAAGCAUAGUCCAGGUACCCAUAGGAUUGCCUUUGUCAUUUAACAUAUCCUCAAAGCUGAUUCACUAGGAUCAAACAGGUCUUUUCUAGGCUUGUAAUGAGGCUUCAGGCUAGGUGAGGCUACUCUUUUGGUUAAAGUGACUCAUUAGGGCUUAUCUCUCCUUACCCUAGCAACUUUUCAGCCCCAAGCUGCUAUUUUCAUCAACUUGCUUACAAUCUCCCUUAAUCAAUUCUACUUAAAUCUUCAAUUCUACUUAUUUUUUUUCUUUUUUGAAUAAGCAUCAACCACCCUCAAAUUAUGCUGAUGCAGUAAGCUAAGGUGCACAAUAUCAUUGGAUAGAUCAUGACUAAAUGCCUUUAAACUAUAUUCUAAACCAACUUUUCAAUGGGUGAUUACAUUUUGACAAUAGCCACCCCCAACUUAGGUAUUUUGCCUAAGUUAAGGUGCCCAAUGCCCAAUAUUGGGCCAUGGCCAGAGUUGAAUGCUAAUGUCCUGUGGAGAGUUAAUUAUAGUUAUGGGAAAUAAAGAAAGCUACUAAAAAGCUUAAAAUGGGUUCAAGUGAGGAAGAGAUCUUAGAGAGGUUAAUUAUUUAGGCUAAGUGGGAUAAAAGUACAAGGAGGCCUACCAUCCCAUCCUAUUGAAUCAGUUAGAGAACAGUAUCAAUGGCUUGGGCAAGUUCUAGGCACUACACUAUGCAAGAACUCAAGAUAAAUCCUCACACACAUAGAGGAAACUGAGUUAAACUUCUUCUGCUACUCUUAGGAUUUCCAUCACAUGAUUCAUGCACCUCUUACAUGUUAACGCCAAAUGCAGACUCACUGAAGGUUAUGCACCAAUGCUACAUGAUUAGAGUAAAUAAUCACGCAUACAUGUUCAUAGUCUUAUGCCAACAUCAUUCAUUAUUCACAUCUACAAAUAAAUACUAAAACAAGGAAGAAAAAAACAUUUUAUAAAUAACAUUAAACACAAUAUUUACAUCACAAGCUUAGGAAAUUAAAAUGCAAAAAUAAGACACCCUAGACCUGCCGAUUCUACUAGAUAACACAUGGAGGGAAAAGAGAUCGACAACAUAACCCACCAUGGUACAAUUACACCCCACCCCACAAAAAAAUAGAUGCAUUGUCCUCAAAGCAUUGAUUUAAAGUACAAGGAAAUAGUUUUACUUAUUUUGCCUCUUAUUCAUCUGAGGCGUCUGUGAAGUGUGGCGAGGCUCCUGCGUCCUCACCUGAUGCAAUGUUAGCCCCUAUGGUGGUAGGGGAAUUCACAACCUCACCCUCCAAGAUUGAAGGAAUCAACUCUCGAACUGAUCCUGUACCGUGCCCCCUGCUGGGGCAGCACUAAUGAUACCCCUGUUGCUUCGUAUUCUUUUUUAUUUCUUCUCUUUUCUUCAUCUUUCAGUGACUUCUUUCGAGCACUCUUUAUAUCAUGACAUUCUCGUUGUUCUGGUGUUAUUUUUGCUCUCUUUCUUCUCUUUGUUUCUUUCCUUGCAGCUUUUUCAUCCAUUUUCUUCUUUCCUUUGUCUUUCACUGGUCUACCCAUAAAGUCCACAAUACCUUCAUCAACACCACUUUCCACCAAGGUUGGUUCGAAUACAGGCUGUUGUAACUUCCUACUCUUUAAUUCUGCAAUAUCCGUCUUUGCUUGUUCAAAUUCAGUAUUAGCCAUGAUUUCAUUAACAAAAGUCUUUAAGUCUGCAACCCACUUAUCAAGCUGUGUCUGAAACCUCUUUUACGUAUUCAUUGACUUAGCAAAGUUUUCUGGUGUGAAACUGUAUACAGAAAAAUUUGCUCCACCCAUAGAUUGUGUGGAACUUGACCCUAUAGAUGUGCCUUGGGGUAUGUACUCAGGUGGCACAUAGGUGGUAAUAGGUAAAGGCAUACCUGUGGGAAUCUCUGUAGUAUCAUGAGCUGGUGCAGAUUGAGUCUGGUAAGCUGGAGGCUUGGUGAUACACAUCUCGAAAUUUGAGUUAUCUUUUGACUUCUCAAGGUCUUAUUUGUGUAUAGUAUGGAUUUCAUUAUCUACUCCGCGAAUCAUGGGCUUACUAGCCUUUCUGCAUAAAGCCAUGAUUAAGCAUGGAAAUGUCAAUGAACUUGAGAUUUUGUGUGCCCUCACGAACAUCUCAUCUGUAAUUAUCUAGCCAAAGUCAAUUUGAACCCCUGAGAUCAAUCUUGCCACCAACAUGGCUCUUUGUUUAUCCAAGUUUCCAUCUUUUUUUGAUGGCAUUAACCUCAAACAAACAACAGUCCACCAGAAUUUAGCCUUAAAACUAAGGGAGUAUUUUGCAAUAUGCUCCCCUGAGUUGGGCAACCAAGAGGGGUUACCAUCUUCAGUCAAGAAUGAGGCCACCCAAGUCCUUUGAGUGAAAGCGUUUCUCAAUCUAUACUUAAGAUCAGGCACAGCAAGCGGGGUUUCUUACUCUGGUCCGAACAACAUCCUAUUGGUUAUUUGGGCAGAAAUAUCAACAGUGACUUCUCGGACAAGUACAGACUCUUUGUUCGACAAAUUUGUAAUUGAUGUCCCCUUUGGGCAGUCCUGUCUACCAUUACAAGAUACUUUGCAAAGAAUUCUCUUACCCAAUUCGGUUGAUAGGCUCCCGGUGGAUGGCUCAUCCAUGUUAGUUCAUACUCGUUGAACCAGCGUUCCAACUUAGAAUAUUCAUGUAAGUCCUUGGUCACAAUCUGAUGCUCUUCCGUAAAUGACCUUUUGAUCCCUCUCGCAGUGGGUGUAAACCCAUCAUAGAACUUCUCACGUGCUCCCUCUAUCUGCCAUCUAAUUGCCUCCCAAACUUGAGGAACAUUACGUCUGAUAAUGUUAGCAUCCUCAGGUUCAGUUUUUACGUUAUCCGCUUCAGUUUGCCCUUCUAUAUUGGCAUCCUCAGUCUUAACAUCAGCUGGCUCAGAUGGAGUGGCAUCAACUGUGGCCUUAUCUUGGCUCGAACUGGUACUGCUAAUACUAUCCUCACUCUCCUCUUCAGACUAUGAGAGUAGAGAAAUUUCCCUUCCAUGUUGUCUGGUGUUGUAUUCGAAUGCGGGUUCGCCGCCAUCCCUUUGAGAUCUUCCUCCUAUUUUUACUGGUAGUUUGGGAGCCAUAACACCUGAAAAAGUUAAGAAAUCAGUCAACAACAAAAAUCUAUCAAAUUAGUGCAUUUCAUGACUUUACGGUCAAAAUGGUGGUUCACAAGUGGUGGGACGGUCCACCACUUUGGCCAUCGCACCUUAUCCAGUAUCUUGGAUUUUUCAUAGCCCUGUGAUGGUCAAGUUGGUGGUCCGUCGCCAAUCAGACAGUCCACCAUUUCAACCGUCGUACCCCCUUCUUCAGGUUCAACUUUUAAUUUGGCAUAUAUUUGAGCAUUUGUUGAGCAACAUUGUUUGUUUAGCAACAUUUGGCAACAAUAACACAAUCAAGCACAACUUUUCACCUUUUAAUCAUGUAGGUUACUCAGACUUCACCUACACAAAUUAUGCUCAAGCUCUUAUUUCAAAACCUUCAGUAAUUCAAGGCAACAAAACUAUAACAAGAUGCUAAUUCCUUUACAAAACAACUUGCCAAACACAACCCACAUCUGAAUGCAUCAUUUAGACAAAGAAGAAUAGAAUUAUGCACAUACCUUGGUUUUGCAGAGAAACAAGCUUGCAACUUUAGAGAACAAGACUAAUUCAAACAACUUUUCAAUUGUGAUCUCAACUAGACUGUGAUGAAGAGAACACGAAGAAUGGAUGUGUUUAAAUAGGAGAAAAGGAAGGAGAUGUAGAGUCCUAGAGGUAAUAAUUUCCUUUAGAUUCUUUGAAUUCAAAGGAAGUUGAACAACUUAAGGAUUUAAAGGGGUUACAACGUAUCUAACCGCCUUAUUUUAAAACUUUAAAACCUUUUGGGUAAAAAUAGGUCAUUUAACAAAGCUUAUGGUUCAACCUGACCCGACCUAAAAUUAGGGUUACAGCGACGCCAGGCCCGACGGUCCAUCAGAUUUUCGAUGGUCUAUCAGGUCAGUCGUCGAAUCUUACUAAGACCUGUGCAACUCUUCUUUGUUACAACGGUCUUUAGGAUGGUCCACCAUAUUUUUGAUGGUCCACCAAAGUCAUCGUCAUACCUUACCAUAACCCAGGCCAUCUAGGUUGAUUUUUACAGUCGAUUAGACGGUCCACUAACUUUGGGACGGUUCACGACUUUAACCAUCAACUUGAUCCAGUGAAUAAAUUUUUCUACCUAUUUGCGAUGGAGGAAAUGGUGAACCGUCAUGGGAAUGGUGGUCCACCAAAUCGGCCGUCACUUUUGAUCAGUAGCUCAGAUUUUUUUAC